CUGAAGAUCAACACUGCUGAAGCUCUGUCUGCUCUUGCUGUCUCACAAGGACCGGAAGAGGAUGAAACACCAGUCAGUACCGGGGGAAUUGCAACGGAAAAAUAUUUUUCCAUUUCGGUCAAGUCGCCAUCGGGAAAUCAUUCAGACUCAAUAUUGAGACUGAUACAGGGCGAUGCUGAGAUCCAAAGUCCAGGUCUCUGCUGCAGCAGUACUCUGAUACACUGAACUCUGAUACAGCACUACUCUGAUACACUGAACUCUGAUACAGCAGUACUCGGAUACACUGAACUCUGAUACAGCAGUACUCGGAUACACUGAACUCUGAUACAGCACUACUCUGAUACACUGAACUCUGAUACAGCAGUACUCUGAUACACUGAACUCUGAUACAGCAGUACUCGGAUACACUGAACUCUGAUACAGCAGUACUCGGAUACACUGAACUCUGAUACAGCAGUACUCGGAUACACUGAACUCUGAUACAGCAGUACUCUGAUACACCGAACUCUGAUACAGCAGUACUCUGAUACACUGAACUCUGAUACAGCAGUACUCUGAUACACCGAACUCUGAUACAGCAGUACUCGGAUACACUGAACUCUGAUACAGCAGUACUCUGAUACACCGAACUCUGAUACAGCAGUACUCGGAUACACUGAACUCUGAUACAGCAGUACUCUGAUACACUGAACUCUGAUACAGCAGUACUCUGAUACACUGAACUCUGAUACAGCAGUACUCGGAUACACUGAACUCUGAUACAGCAGUACUCGGAUACACUGAACUCUGAUACAGCAGUACUCGGAUACACUGAACUCUGAUACAGCAGUACUCUGAUACACUGAACUCUGAUACAGCAGUACUCUGAUACACUGAACUCUGAUACAGCAGUACUCGGAUACACUGAACUCUGAUACAGCAGUACUCGGAUACACUGAACUCUGAUACAGCAGUACUCGGAUACACUGAACUCUGAUACAGCAGUACUCGGAUACACUGAACUCUGAUACAGCAGUACUCGGAUACACUGAACUCUGAUACAGCAGUACUCGGAUACACUGAACUCUGAUACAGCAGUACUCGGAUACACUGAACUCUGAUACAGCAGUACUCUGAUACACUGAACUCUGAUACAGUUCUUCAGUACAGAGCCAUCUCUAGCCUCUCUGACUUGGUUGUCUGUGUCUGCAGGACCUCAGGUAAGUAGGUGGCUUCACCUCCGAGGCUCUGAGCAUUGUCUCUGUAGAAAGCAGCAUUACUCCGUGGGCUGUACCAAGGGUUAGGAUGCUGAAUCCAUGGCAGGACCACCUGAACAGGCCUGGGGGGAGCUACUGUGGCCCGAUAAUCAUUCUGAGCUGAAGGCAUCUAAAUCCCCCAUCAGCCUGAAAACAGAGCCCCUUGAAGAACUCAACUCCUCGUUGAACUCCCUUCAUUGUUUUAUUAGACAAAGGAGAAA
rnacentral:lncRNA from 1 species